rnacentral:rRNA from 1 species
CCCUUAGAUGUUCUGGGCCGCACGCGCGCUACACUGAUGCAUUCAACGAGUCUAAAACCUGCUCUGAUAGGGGUGGGUAAUCUUUUGAAUGUGCAUCGUGAUUGGGAUAGAUGUUUGCAAUUUUUCAUCUUCAACGAGGAAUGCCUAGUAAACGCAAGUCAUCAGCUUGCAUUGAUUACGUCCCUGCCCUUUGUACACACCGCCCGUCGCUCCUACCGAUUGAAUGAUCCGAUGAAUAUCAUGGAUUGAGGAUGCAAGCAGGUUCGCCUGUCUUCAUCUUCGAGAAGUGAAGUAAAUCUUAUCAUUUAGAGGAAGGAGAAGUCGUAACA